rnacentral:ncRNA from 1 species
UAUUUAGAUUCCUUCAGAAAUCAAGAGUGGUUUUAGAAUCUACUAAGAAAUGAUGUCAAAAAAAGACAUAGCUCGACCUGGUCCUGGGGAGGGACUCCUGGGAAUUCAUGCAUUUACCAGACCAAAAUAACAAAAAGAACAAUGGCUUUUCCCCCAAACUCCCACCUAUAGGAGGAAGCACACUGGCUGCUUUGAUGACUCUAGAUACCAUAAUGAUCUCACAUUCUCUGAACAUCCAACAAAUUAACUUUGGUAGUAUUUAUUCUACCUACCAUGCUGACCAUGAGAGACCAGGAAUUGAGGUUCCAUUCUGGAGAAGGAGACUGAGAAAUGUCUACCACAUCAAAGGAAGUGUAAGGGAGGAAAGAAAGGAAGGAGGGAAAGAGGGGAGAUUGUGUGAGUGUGGGUGUAGAAUUCUUUCAUUUCAGUAAGCUUUUUGAUUGUGUGGUUGCUUAUUAGAGAAAUUGUUUACCUCUGACAGAGAAGGAGUGAUAAAAAUGACAAUACAGGAUUUUUUUCUAGCCUCCUCAAUUAGAAUGAGUACACUUUAAAUCCUUUAAGGAGGAUUCACUAGAGGGUGAGUCUGGUGCUAGCAGCAGUCAUAAUUCUACUCCAAAAUUCUAUAUUAAAAUUGCUAUACUUAUGAAGCUUGUAAUUGGGUUUGGUGAUCAACCUGGUGGUUUGCAAUAAGGCAAUCCACCACCUGUCCAAAACCCUGAUUCUCAGCCCCCCCCCAGAUGCUCUUAGCUGAUUAUAAUGGAUUUACUUUGAAAAAAAAAAUUAGUUUUCAAAGGAGACCCCAAGUCACCCCAGAGUGCUGACCUAUGUUGUUUGUUUUACUUGUUUGUUUUUGGAAUUGAGGCCAUGAUUAAGAGGGAUGACUGGGUUCAUUCUCAGUCCCAGGGCCAGCCAUUUUUUUCAUCAUUCAAGCAGCAGCAGCUUCUUUACCUAACCCACAUAGCAGGAAAAAGGAACUUUCUGGUAGAUAAUGAUCAUAG